AUGCCUUCUAGUCGUCAUUUAGGUCAGCCAACGAGAUCCAUGGACCAAGACCAUCUGGGCCAGUCCACCCAGUUCCAAACAGCCCAAGCCAAGGUGCCAGCAGGGGGCACUACAGACACAAUUCCAGAAGAUGAGGGAAGGCUUUGUCCUGUUUUGAAGAAUGAACACCAAAGCCACCGAGACUUCGGGUCUUAUGAGGGCAGCCGGAGAAUCCAUUUAGGAGUUGAAAACCUGGAUCGCUGUGUUCUUCUGCUGACUGUGCCUUGUCAGCACCUUGAGAACCACGUAAGGACAGCCAACCUUCUCAUGUGAGUAGGGAUCAAAGAGAAACCAGUGACACUGAGGUACCGUCAUGCCACUCAUUGGUGAGAAUGUUUUCUU
rnacentral:lncRNA from 1 species